rnacentral:rRNA from 1 species
CCUGAUGCAGCAACGCCGCGUGUGCGAAGAAGGCCUUCGGGUCGUAAAGCACUUUUCUGGGAGAUGAGAAAGGACAGUACUCCUCGAAUAAGCCACGGCUAACUACGUGCCAGCAGCCGCGGUAAUACGUAGGUGGCAAGCGUUACUCGGAAUCACUAGGCGUAAAGCGCAGGUAGGCGGUUCGGUAAGUCUCUUGUGAAAGCUCCUGGCUCAACUGGGAGAGGUCAAGGGAAACUGCCGGGCUCGAGUGUGGCAGAGGAAGCUGGAAUUCCCGGUGUAGCGGUGAAAUGCGUAGAUAUCGGGAGGAAUACCUAUGGCGAAAGCAGGCUUCUGGGCCAUCACUGACGCUGAGCUGCGAAAGCUAGGGGAGCAAACAGGAUUAGAUACCCUGGUAGUCCUAGCCCUAAACGAUGCUCAUUAGGUGUGGAAGGUAUCGACCCCUCCCGCGCCGAAGCUAACGCAUUAAAUGAGCCGCCUGGGGAGUACGGCCGCAAGGUUG